UCAAGUUACUAAGGGUGUAUGGGGGAUGUCUAGGUGUCGAGAGGCGAUGAAGGACGUGGCAGACUGCGAUAAGUUCAGGGCAGGUGUCGAGCAACCGUUAAUCCUGAAAUGUCCGAAUGGGGAAACCCGUUCCCAAGAAAUUGGGAUCAUCUCCGGCUGAAUUCAUAGGCCGGUUGAAGCGAACGCAGGGAACUGAAACAUCUCAGUACCUGUAGGAAAGGAAAUCAAUUGAGACUCCGUCAGUAGCGGCGAGCGAAAGCGGAUCAGCCUAAACCGAUCUUCGGGUCGGUGUUACGGGCAUUGGUUAGGAGUUACAAAGGCAUCGCAAGUCAAAUCAGCUGGAAAGCUGAGCCGUAGAAGGUGAUAGCCCUGUAGAUAAAAGCGAGAGCCCUCCGUUAUGCCAGUGUUCCAAAGUAGCACGGAGCCCGUGAAACUCCGUGCGAAUUCGGGGAGACCACUCUCCAAGGCUAAGUACUACUCGACAACCGAUAGUGAAAAAGUAGCGCGAGCGAAAGAUGAAAAGAACCCCUAUUAGGGGAGUUAAAAGGACCUGAAACCAUACACUUACCAGUUGCGGGAGGGCUAUGACAUUUCUUCGGAAAUGUAAUGCCUGACCACGUGCCUUUUGCAUAAUGAGCCGGCGAGUUAUCGUUUGUGGCAAGGUUAAUCCCUUCAAGGGAGUAGCCGUAGCGAAAGCGAGUCUGAAUAGGGCGCAAGUCGCAGGUGAUAGACGCGAAACUACGUGAUCUACGCAUGGCCAGGUUGAAGGGGAUGUAAAAGUCUCUGGAGGACCGAACUCAUUAACGUUGAAAAGUUAUGGGAUGAGCUGUGCGGAGGAGUAAAAGUCUAAUCAAACGUAGAGAUAUCUCGUACUCUCCGAAAUAGCUUUUGGGCUAGCCUCGAGUAAAAUAUUUGACGGGGGUAGAGCUACUGAAUGGGGAUAAGGAGCUACCCGCUUGCUUACCCCAACCAAACUCCGAAUACCGUUAAAUUUACCUCGGGAGUCAGACUGCGGGUGAUAACAUUCAUGGUCAAAAGGGAAACAACCCUAACCGCCAGCUAAGGUCCCGAAUUUGAGCUAAGUUCAUAAGGAAGUCGGAUUGCAUAGACAGUCAGGAUGUUGGCUUAGAAGCAGCCACCAUUUAAAAAGUGCGUAAUAGCUUACUGACCGAGCAAUUCGGUGCCGAGAAUGAACGGGAAUAAGCACAAAACCGAAGCUGCGGAUUUUACUAUUGCCUUCGGGCAAUAGCAAAGUGGUAGGAGAGCAUAGCAGUCAGCAUUGAAGCGAUACGAAAACGAAUCGUGGAGCGGCUGCUAGAGAUUAUGCCGGCAUGAGUAACGAUAAAACAGGUGAGAAUCCUGUUCGCCGUAAACCUAAGGUUUCCUGGGGAAGGUAAAUCCGCCCAGGGUUAGUCGGCCCCUUAGUCGAGGCUGAAAGGCGUAGACGAUGGACAGCAGGUUAAUAUUCCUGCACUAUGUUGGUGGACGAAGACAGUGACGCAUUUUAAAAAUUCAUCCCGUGAUUAGUCGUGCGGGUUCCGCAAGGUCGAGGUCGUUUUUCGUUACCGAAGUGAAUAGAUAAAAUGCCAAGAAAUAACUGUCGUAGGACGAAGCCAAUGUAACCGUACUAAAACUGACACAGGUAGGUGAGGAUAAAUGUCCUCAGGCGCUCGAGAUAACCGUUCUUAAGGAACUAGGCAAUUUGACCCCGUACGUUCGCAAUAAGGGGUCCCUCCAAGCUAAUGUAACAGUUGGCUUGAGGGCGCAGGGAAAUGGCUCUGGCGACUGUUUAUCAAAAACACAGUUCUGUGCUAACACUUAACGUGGAUGUAUACAGAAUGACGCGUGCUCGGUGCCGGAAGGUUAAGGAAGCCGGUCAGCUUGUAGCAAUACAGGCAAAGCUGGCGACCGAAGCCCCGGUAAACAGCGGCCGUAACUAUGACGGUCCUAAGGUAGCGAAGUUCCUUGUCGGGUAAGUUCCGACGUGCAUGAACCGCGUAACGACUGGAGCAGUGUCUCAAGGACGGACUCGGUGAAAUUAUACUUGUGGUGAAGAUACCACAUACCCGCAGCAAGACGGAAAGACCCCGUGAACCUUUACUGUAACCUGGUACUGACACCUGUCAUAUCAUGCGUAGGAUAGGUAGGAGGCUUUGAUCCGGCGCUUCUGGGCGUCGGGGAGCCAUCGUUGAAAUACUACCCUUGCUAUGUUAGUUGUCUAACCGUGACCCGUGAAUCCGGGCAUGGAACAAUGCUAGGCGGGCAGUUUGACUGGGGCGGUCUUCUCCCAAAGUGUAACGGAGAAGUUCAAAGGUACCCUCAGCGUGGUUGGCAAUCACGCGUAGAGCGCAAAGGUAUAAGGGUGCUUAACUGCGAGACCAAUAAGUCGAGCAGAUACGAAAGUAGGACUUAGUGAUCCGGUGGUUCUGAGUGGAAGGGCCAUCGCUCAUCAGACAAAAGGUACUCUGGGGAUAACAGGCUUAUCGCACCCGAGCGUCCAUAGCGGCGGUGCGGUUUGGCACCUCGAUGUCGGCUCAUCACAUCCUGGGGCUGAAGGUGGUCCCAAGGGUUCGGCUGUUCGCCGAUUAAAGUGGUACGCGAGCUGGGUUCAGACCGAUGUGAAUCAGGUCGGUCCCUAUCUGCUGUGGGCGUAGGAAUCUUGAGAGGAUAUUUCUCUAGUACGAGAGGACUGAGAAGUACUGACCUCUGGUGAACCGGUUGUCGCGCUAGCGGCACCGCCGGGUAGCUAAGUUGGGAAAGGAUAAACGCUGAAAGCAUCUAAGCGUGAAGCCCACCUCAAGAUGAGGAUUCCUUUGCCGCACCUACUUUGCUCAGUAGAGUUUAUUUUGACUUUACUGGUUGAAGUUGGUGCGGCAUGAAGAGCCCUGGUAGACUACCAGGUUGAUAGGCCGGAUGUGUAAGGCGAGAAAUCGCUUCAGCUAACCGGUACUAACGCUCAAACGCUUGACCAU
rnacentral:rRNA from 1 species